rnacentral:lncRNA from 1 species
AUGAGGAGUCAGCAUCUUAAGAAUCCUUCCACAUCUGACAAGAUGCCUAGCACACUCUGGUCGGUUUGGAACAGAACUAGAUCUCGGGGAAAUGUUCUAUCAAAACAGAACUGUCAAGAUGUGGAACUGGAAAGCAACCAAAAACCCAUCAGCUCCUCCAGGUUACCAAGAAAGAAGAACAAAUCCCUAGUAGCUGAUGUGCUUCUGCAUUUACAAGGCUAAACUGUCUGUCAUCUCUUCAAUACCACUCAUUUCUACUUUGCCAGGCUCUUACUGGCAAGUUUAGAAUAUUCACACUCAGUCCACUAGCACCAACUCAUCGUCUAUCUUAGGAAAAAAGAAACCUGGAAGAAACCUGUCUAAGUUAUACUAUUAAGAGCACACCAUCCUACCUAUGGAAUGANNNNNNNNNNNNNNNNNNNNNNNNNNNNNNNNNNNNNNNNNNNCGCUCAGUCAUGUCUGACUCUUUGUGAACCCAUGGACUGUAGCCCACCAGACUCUUCUGUCCAUGGGAUACUCCAGGCAAGCAUACUGGAAUGGGUUGCCAUUGUCUUCUUCAGGGGAUUGACAUGUGUAAAUAUAUACAUCCUGUAAAAAGACUCAGCACUGCUUUUCAUAAUUAACAAGAGUUAAGGUUUACUGUGGUAUUUGAGAAAACUCUGUAGACUUUGAUUUUCAGUGCUAUGGUGGGUCAAGUAUACAGGCAACUCUACUGAAAACAACUAAGAAAACUGGAUACUAGAGAGAAAACAUCUUUUUAAAUGACUCACAAGCUGAGAAACUGAUAAGAAAUUUUUUAACAAGGUGAUAUUCACAUAACAUGAUGGAAAUUAAUUUUCAGUUAUUCUGGAAGCUUUGGAGAUGUCCAUAAUUGAGACUAGUAAUUCUACUCCUGUGUAUAUUCUCUAAGUCACCUUCUAUAUAUGCUCACUGGGGGAAGUUCACAGCAGUACCAUCUACAGCAGCAAAAAACUGGAAAUAAUAAUAAUUCGUGUUCAUUGGUAACAGAAUAGAUACAUAUACCAUACUAUAUUCACUCCAUGGAAUUACAGUUCAGCAAAAUGAACAAACGCGCGAUAGUCAACGAUAUGGACAAAUCUAGGAGUGAAAUUACUUUGCCAGCAAAGGUCCAUCUAGUCAAGGCUAUGGUUUUUCCAG